ACAGCGCGCGGGUGUCACCGCAGCAACGUUAACGUUGCACGGCGACGUUCUCUUAAGGCAACGGCAUCCGACGAUUGAGGAUCGGCGCAGAAUGUUACGUAUCCUACCACUAACUGUGGAGAGGUAGAGGCAACACCUGUUCACGGUUGUUCUCAAAUUCGGAGAGCAUCUUAAGGGUCAGGUCCUGGCAACCAAAAGGUUGCCAAGACUCUUCAACGUGAGCAACAUCCGAGACCAACAGCGGGAGCGAGGCUGCCUUGGUAGCACCGGGCACUAGGAGUGCCGGAACCACGAGGAAACGCCGCAAGCGCCGUUAGGCCGCAGCGGCACACCCGAAGGUGUCCACCGCGAGGCAAACGUGUUAGAAGCACCACUUCCCGUAGGUCGGGUACCAGCACGCAAGCACUUGAAAGGCGACAUCAUCAUAUAAGCCAAACGAACGACGGGACACGGCGCCUGUAGUCGGCCGCACGAAGACGGGGGAUCUACCGGCAGACACGGGUCCAAAGCUACUCAUGCGCUCGCGUAGCCAACAUCGGUCAAGCCUCCCGAGCCUCCCACCACGCGUAAGCACGGUGGGAUUGCUCUGUGUAGGCGUCCUGAGUGUCCACAGCGCGCGGGUGUCACCGCAGCAACGGUAACGUUGCACGGCGACGUUCUCUUAAGGCAACGGCAUCCGUUCAUUGAGGAUCGGCGCAGAAUGUUACGUAUCCUACCACUAA